CUCCGAACAGGUGUCCUAUGGGGGUAGUGCAUUAAUUGGUGGGUGGGGAGAAAAGGUUUAUAUAAGGCACUGCCUCCAGCUGGCGUUAGUUGUUUUCCCCCCUUCGACGGUAUGGCGGGGUUGCGGCUUAUCUGGGCGGUUCGACCAACAAACUGUUUCACAGCGCGAGCUGUCUGGCAGCGCCAAGAAGGUGCUGCGGGCCACGGCGGGGACCCAACCCCUGGUGGAGGGCGUUUUCAUCACCCGUGGCGUUGUCGUCAACCGUUCCACCUCUCCCCACCCCGCCAUGCCAGCAUCUACUGUACCCUGCAGAAGAAUAUUCUCCAAAUGUGGAGAAAUUGUGAGCAAAAAAAUAAACUGGUUAAAUCCCAAUACUGUGGAAAAAAAAAAAUAACGUACCUCAAUAAAAACGUUGAGUCUACAAUUACACAAGAAUACCCAAGCUAUGGCAUAUUUUACCAGCAUUUUCUCCUUAACAAAACAAAGCUCAUGUGUGCGCCUCCCGGUCACCAAUAG
rnacentral:lncRNA from 1 species